CACUGUGUACGUGCAAAGUCUGUGACACUGCAAUUGCCCUUUCAAAAAGCAGAAGUGCUGAUACAUGGACCCCAUAACUCAGACUCUUCUCCAGUCUGCCAAACAACUGGAGUUGCUAAUGGCUCUAACUUUCUGGCCGGUGUGUGUGUGGCUGCUAUAGCUUACCCAAAGACUGUUCAAGAAACCUCGUCCUCCAGGAAUGCAUCCAUCUUUGUACUGGACUGUGUUUGCUGAAACUGGUGUCUGCAAUGAGAAAGGAAUUCUCCUGGCCUCUCUCGUCCUCCUUGGAACCCCAGUCUGUUGGGAAAGAGGAGAAAGGACUGGAGAUACUGACUGAGGCAUAGCUGGGGAUCAGAACCAGCCUCUGUGCCUGAGAAACCGCAGCCAUGAGAAACCACCACAGCCCUAUAUUUUGGAAGACCUAGGAGCUAGCCUGAGAUCAGCACCUCAUCUGUGGAAUGAUGGUCUGACACAGGACAACCAAUGGGUGUGCUAUUCCCUGAGGGAAAACCUCCCUGCCCUCUGAAAUGGGUCAGUCUAGGGAAGCUGUGUCUCCAUGGAUUGAGUGAG
ensembl:lncRNA